CUUGAGCUUGAUGCGUAUUGCUUUCCUAAGUACUAGUGCCGCAGGAGUUAGGUUUGUGUCCGCAAUGCCUCCUGCUGCCCAAGUGCUUAUUAAGGCGACGAAUUUUCCAACAAU
rnacentral:pre_miRNA from 13 species